rnacentral:RNase_P_RNA from 17 species
GGAGUUGGUCAGGCAAUCGCCGCUUGUUAGAUAUUUCAUUAGGGCUAGUCCCUAGAGUAAUGUGUUAAUAAGGGGAGGAAAGUCCGGGCUCCACAGGGCAGGGUGCCAGGUAACGCCUGGGCGGCGCAAGCCGACGACAAGUGCAGCAGAGAGGAAACCGCCUAAGCGCGCAAGCGCCGGUAAGGGUGAAAGGGUGCGGUAAGAGCGCACCGCACCACUGGUAACAGUGUGUGGCAAGGUAAACUCCACCCGGAGCAAGACCAAAUAGGAUCUCUUAUGGCGUGGCCCACGUUGAGAUCGGGUGUGUUGCUUGAGCCAGCGAGUGAUUGCUGGCCUAGAUGAAUGGUUGUCCACGACAGAACCCGGCUUAUCGACCAACUCCACCU